UACGGAGGAUCCAAGCGUUAUCCGGAUUUAUUGGGUUUAAAGGGUGCGUAGGCGGAUUGAUAAGUUAGAGGUGAAAUGUCCGAGCUCAACUCGGGAACUGCCUCUAAUACUGUUGAUCUAGAGGGUAGAUGCGGUAGGCGGAAUGUAUGGUGUAGCGGUGAAAUGCUUAGAGAUCAUACAGAACACCGAUUGCGAAGGCAGCUUACCAAUCUAUAUCUGACGUUGAGGCACGAAAGCGUGGGGAGCAAACAGG
rnacentral:rRNA from 1 species